rnacentral:rRNA from 1 species
GACGGGGGGAUGCAAGUGUUAUCCGGAAUCACUGGGCGUAAAACGUCUGCAGGUGGUUUCCUAAGUCCACUGUUAAACCUUGAGGCUCAACCUCAAAUCUGCAUUGGAAACUAGGAGACUUGAGUAUAGUAGGGGUAGAGGGAAUUUCCAGUGGAGCGGUGAAAUGCGUAGAUAUUGGAAAGAACACCGAUGGCGAAGGCACUCUACUGGGCUAUUACUGACACUCAGAGACGAAAGCUAGGGGAGCAAAUGGG